ensembl:lncRNA
AAAAUGUUUUUUAUUCUCAUAGAAACCUCAACAGUUCAUUCCAGAGGAGAUGCUGCUAUCUAGUGGUGAGCAGCGACAGGACACAAAGCUGACGGUUACCAUGACAACAGCAAUAACACUGAACGUGAUUGGUUAAAGAGCACGACUGUUAAAGGGCAAGUUAUGGAAAUACACAGAACUUACACUGAACUGACAUUACCUGGAGGGUCCACCUCAGGUUCUGGACCUGUAGGAUCCACCUCAGGUUCUGGACCUGUAGGGUCCAGCUCAGAGGUUCUGGACCUGUAGGGUCCACCUCAAGGGUUCUGGACCUGUCAGAACCUGUAGGGUCCACCUCAGAGGUUCUGGUUUGUCCUCCUUUGGACUGGACCGGAUCAGACAGUAAAUAAACCAUGACUCUGCUCUGCAUAGUUCUGACACCAGAAUCUGGAUUUAUUCCGCGUCCUGAACAGAACCCACAUGCUGGUUCAGGAACUGGUCCUCGGAGCAGAACCAGAGAUGACCUGUAGUGACAGGUCAGGUGGUCCUGUUUGUAGAUGGCCUUCAUGUUCUCACGUCUCCAUCAAAAAGCAGAAGAUCUGAGUCAGUGAGCUCAGGGUCCGGUUAGAGGGCCCAUCUGUCCUUACUGUCUUUAUGUAAACAUGUCCAUCAGAACCGGCUCCUUGUCAGUCAGUAAAGUCCAUCAGAACGGGCUGCUGGUUCUUCAGAAGUGAACGUGUCCAGAGUGCGGGUCCGGUGGUGGUCCUCCAGGAGGAACGUCCUGCAGCAGGUUCCGGCCCAGGGGCCUACUAAGCGGGUAGGUCUGGGCCAUGGCCUCCUCGGUCCACUCUGUUCUGGACAGCAGCUGGUCCAUGUGGGGUCCUGGGGCCCGGUGCAGAAGGGGGUAGGGGCUGAUUGCAGGUUCUCGCUCCAGUAACGGGUGUCCGGGUCCUCGGUGUCCGUCGGGUCCAUAAGGGGCCACCGUGAGGAUGGAGGGGUCCCGGUCCAGCGGCUGCAGGGUCUGCUGGUCCAUAUGGUACAGCUGCUUUUUGUGGACCGGGCCGUGGUCCUGGUGGUCCAGGUGCAUGUGGUCAUGCAGUUUCUUCUGGUUCUGGAUGCUGUCUUGGGCCUGGUGGUUCAUCUGGAGGUGGUACUGUUGUCUCUUCUGGUUCUGGGUGUUGUCCUGGUCAUGCAGAUCCAUCUGAGGUUGGUACUGUGGUUUCUUCUGGGUCUGGGUGUGGUCCUUGUCCUGCAAGUCCACUGGAGCCUGGUACUGCUGCUGCUUUUUCUGGUUCUGGUUCUGGAUUUGGUCUUGGUGCUCCUGGUUCUCCUCCAGGUCCAUCUGGGCGUGGAACUGCUGCUUCUUCUGACUCUGGAUCUGAUUGUGGACCUGGUUCUUGAUGUCCUUCCAGUGUCGGCCCCUAAGGACCGGCUCCAGGUCCAGACAGCGCUGACAGACCUCCUUCCCCGGUACCGUCUGGACCAGCACAUGGACCGCCAGCUGCCUCCAGAUCGCCUCCUUCUCUGCAGAAGACCAGGGGCGGCGGCGG